CCUACGGGAGGCAGCAGUGGGGAAUAUUGGACAAUGGGCGAAAGCCUGAUCCAACAAUGCCGCGUGAGUGAUGAAGGCCUUAGGGUUGUAAAGCUCUUUUACCAGGGAUGAUAAUGACAGUACCUGGAGAAUAAGCUCCGGCUAACUCCGUGCCAGCAGCCGCGGUAAU
rnacentral:rRNA from 1 species